rnacentral:snoRNA from 12 species
AACAUGCUGCCUUAGAUCCACCUUUGUGGAUGUCAGUCUUGAACUGAGUUCUGCUCGCAAACUUCCUGUUUCUUGUAGUUCCAGUCAGAGACAUCCGGCAACUUUUUUGGUUGUACAGUCAAAGGUGCUUGAGUCAUUGGCAUGUGAGAGAAAUACACCUGCAUGUUAGUCUCCAGUUCUGGUGGGAUGGCAGCAGCCGGCUGCCAUUCGCUCCGCCAGGACUCGACUGGUGUGCGGACACG